rnacentral:rRNA from 1 species
GACGAACGCUGGCGGCGUGCUUAACACAUGCAAGUCGAACGGAAAGGCCCUGCUUUUGUGGGGUGCUCGAGUGGCGAACGGGUGAGUAACACGUGAGUAACCUGCCCUUGACUUUGGGAUAACUUCAGGAAACUGGGGCUAAUACCGGAUAGGAGCUCCUGCUGCAUGGUGGGGGUUGGAAAGUUUCGGCGGUUGGGGAUGGACUCGCGGCUUAUCAGCUUGUUGGUGGGGUAGUGGCUUACCAAGGCUUUGACGGGUAGCCGGCCUGAGAGGGUGACCGGCCACAUUGGGACUGAGAUACGGCCCAGACUCCUACGGGAGGCAGCAGUGGGGAAUAUUGCACAAUGGGCGGAAGCCUGAUGCAGCAACGCCGCGUGCGGGAUGACGGCCUUCGGGUUGUAAACCGCUUUCGCCUGUGACGAAGCGUUAUUGACGGUAAUUGGUAAAGAAGCAACGGCUAACUACGUG